GAUGAACGCUGGCGGCGGGCCUAAUACAUGCAAGUCGAGCGAACAGACGAGGAGCUUGCUCCUCUGACGUUAGCGGCGGACGGGUGAGUAACACGUGGAUAACCUACCUAUAAGACUGGGAUAACUUCGGGAAACCGGAUCUAAUACCGGAUAAUAUAUUGAACCGCAGGGUUCAAUAGUGAAAGACGGUUUUGCUGUCCCUUAUAGAUGGUUCCGCGCCGCAUUAGCUAGUUGGUAAGGUAACGGCUUACCAAGGCGACGAUGCGUAGCCGACCUGAGAGGGUGAUCGGCCACACUGGAACUGAGACACGGUCCAGACUCCUACGGGAGGCAGCAGUAGGGAAUAUUCCGCAAUGGGCGAAAGCCUGACGGAGCAACGCCGCGUGAGUGAUGAAGGUCUUCGGAUCGUAAAGCUCUGUUAUUAGGGAAGAACAAAUGUGUAAGUAACUAUGCACGUCUUGACGGUACCUAAACAGAAAGCCACGGCUAACUACGUG
rnacentral:rRNA from 1 species